UAUAGCAGCCGCACACACCUUGUUGGAUUGAAACUUGUGGAUUUAUUCCCUGUGAGCGCCAGAGAUUGCCCACCGCAGGAGUGCCAGACUACAGUGCCUCCUGCGCCCCGCCCCCCUCGUUGGCAAGAUGUAUGGUACUGGGUAGGCCUCCACGUGCCCCUUCAGCCUCCCUCCCCCUUCCUCCUCCUACUCCGACCACCACCACCACCACCACCACCCAUCACCUCGAGUCUACGUUGGAAUGUGUUUUGGUGAGUUUAGCCUUACAAGAGCCAAGACGUCUAACUGAUACCUGUACUUCCUUUGUGUUUCUUUUUGUCUCCCUACUUCAGUCCUACAACAUCCAACACGUGUACUACUAAUAUUUGCACUUCCUUUGUGUUCCUUCCUGUCUCCCUCCCCUCCCCUUCCUUUUAAUUUCAUAGCACCCGAUUUUCCGCAUUAGUAUCGGCACCUUCCUCGUCUCCUGUGUGAUCCCCGGAAGCCUCCAAUCAGUUCCCCUGUGACGCCCACCAGGUGCUCCCCGUACCCCCGCCUCACCUGUCCAAGUCGCUACCCGAGGGCGUGGCGUGUUUGGCCCGUGUUGUGAUGUGUGUGCCUCGCUUAAUUUUGUGGCGAAUUUGUGUGUUAUUUGUGUGUUAUUGUGUUAAAUUUGUCUGUUAUA